AACGCACAUUGCGCCCGCCAGUAUUCUGGCGGGCAUGCCUGUUCGAGCGUCAUUUCAACCCUUAAGCCCUGUUGCUUAGUGUUGGGAGCCUGCGGGAAAACCCCCGCAGCUCUCCAAAAAUAGUGGCGGAGCUGGUCUUGUGCUCCAGACGUAGUAGAUUUCAUCUCGUCUGUGGUCGAGCUGGCGGCCUGCCGUAAAACACCCCUAUUUCUAAAGGUUGACCUCGGAUCAGGUAGGAAUACCCGCUGAACUUAA
rnacentral:misc_RNA from 1 species